rnacentral:rRNA from 1 species
AACGAACGCUGGCGGCAUGCUUAACACAUGCAAGUCGAACGCGGUCCUUCGGGACCGAGUGGCGCACGGGUGAGUAGCGCGUGGGAACCUGCCCUCUUGUGGGGGAGUAACCGACGGGAAACCUACGGCUAAUACCGCAUAAGCCGGAGAGAUCCGGGAAGAUUUAUCGCAAGAGGAGGGGCCCGCGUCGGAUUAGCUUGUUGGUGGGGUAACGGCCUACCAAGGCGAUGAUCCGUAGCUGGUCUGAGAGGAUGAUCAGCCACACUGGG